AUUGAACGCUGGCGGCAUGCUUUACACAUGCAAGUCGGACGGCAGCACAGAGAAGCUUGCUUCUUGGGUGGCGAGUGGCGAACGGGUGAGUAACAUAUCGGAACGUACCGAGCAGUGGGGGAUAACUAAUCGAAAGAUUAGCUAAUACCGCAUAUCUUCUGAGGAAGAAAGCAAGGGACCAUUUGGCCUUGCGCUGUUUGAGCGGCCGAUAUCUGAUUAGCUAGUUGGUGGGGUAAAGGCCUACCAAGGCGACGAUCAGUAGCGGGUCUGAGAGGAUGAUCCGCCACACUGGGACUGAGACACGGCCCAGACUCCUACGGGAGGCAGCAGUGGGGAAUUUUGGACAAUGGGCGCAAGCCUGAUCCAGCCAUGCCGCGUGUCUGAAGAAGGCCUUCGGGUUGUAAAGGACUUUUGUCAGGGAAGAAAAGGGCGGGGUUAAUACCCCUGUCUGAUGACGGUACCUGAAGAAUAAGCACCGGCUAACUACGUG
rnacentral:rRNA from 1 species